rnacentral:rRNA from 1 species
UACGAAGGGGGCUAGCGUUGCUCGGAAUCACUGGGCGUAAAGGGUGCGUAGGCGGGUAAGUAAGUCCGUGGUGAAAUCUCUGAGCUUAACUCAGAAACUGCCGUGGAUACUAUUUGCCUUGAAUAUUGUGGAGGUGAGCGGAAUAUGUCAUGUAGCGGUGAAAUGCUUAGAUAUGACAUAGAACACCAAUUGCGAAGGCAGCUCACUACACAAUCAUUGACGCUGAGGCACGAAAGCGUGGGGAUCAAACAGG